AAAUAAGGGAGACCGGCCCCGCAUCUGGGUCGGCCCAAGGUCACACAUGGGGGAGCGAGAGGGUGCGCGCUAAAUCUCAAAAAAAAGAGGGUGCGCGUUGCCCACUUUCCCACACGCUCGUCCGGCCGCAACGCCGGCGUCCGCAGGCGGCUGUAGUUCAUGCACCAAGUCGGAGCAUCAUCACUCGCGUGAGAUAUGAGACACAGGAAACGCGGCAAGCCGGAGCAGGGAUGCCGCCCAAGUUGCUACCUGCUACGGACUUGGUGUCCUGGGUUGACCAAACUCUGGCCGCAAAAGAGCUGCUGGGGAUCAAGGUCUACCACAGACUCUGCCUUGAUUAACCUUAAGAAGCAGGUCUGAUGAAGCAAGAGGACGCGAUGACACUGAGAACUGGAGGGGAAAAGCUGAAAGAGAAUACUUCUCGUCUGAUGAGGAUCUGCGCGACGGCUUAUCAAGAAGAAGGAGCUCGUUGAGGAGGGGGUGAUCGUGAUCUUGUCUUUUACUUUGCUGGAAUAGUUGCCUCCUGCGUGAGGUUGGUUCGGGCCUGUUGCUCUGGUUGGAGCCUAUCGUUUGUUUUGGUCUGGUUGUAGACGGUGUUUGAUCUGGUUAGGGCUUGGAUUAUAUAGUGUCGUCGGGUUUUCGCCCCACAGUGAGUAAUCUCGAUGACGAGUGCUCAUGGUGGGUUUUCCGGCGAUGCUUGAACCCGCUUUCCUCUUUCCCGCCUUAUUUUCUGGACAAUGGUUGUAUUUCCGUUAUGUCGCAGUAAUGGAAAGGGGUAAUGCCUGGUUAAAAAAAAAAGCACCCAUGUAUAAACACAUGCUUUACAACUUCAAGCUAGUGCUCAAGGAA